rnacentral:tRNA from 1 species
CUCGCCUAUGCCGGGGACGGCGCCCGCUUCCGCCUGCCGUUCACGGCGCUCGGGCUCAGUCCCGAGGGCGGGUC